rnacentral:rRNA from 1 species
UACGAAGGGGGCUAGCGUUGCUCGGAUUGACUGGGCGUAAAGGGCGCGUAGGCGGUUCGUACAGUCAGACGUGAAAUUCCUGGGCUCAACCUGGGGGCUGCGUUUGAUACGUGCGGACUUGAGUGCGGAAGAGGGUCGUGGAAUUCCCAGUGUAGAGGUGAAAUUCGUAGAUAUUGGGAAGAACACCUGUGGCGAAAGCGGCUCACUGGACCAUAACUGACGCUGAUGCACGAAAGCUAGGGGAGCAAACAGG